rnacentral:misc_RNA from 1 species
GACCAAUUUGUCAUAUUCACCACUAGCGGACUCCUUUGGGAACACCGACCUCAUGCCCUUUCACUUUAGCAGGUUCAAUUCAUCUCCUUGAGUGAUGCAGAUUUGAUACUAUUUCAACGUGACCCACUACUCACAUCUUUUAACUUUACCAACACCUCCAUCACCAACAAUCUAAUAUCUCUCUUAUUUUAAAUACCAACUCUUUUGUUCAUGUUUUAAUCACCUACAGUGACUGGGCUAAAGUUUGAUUCGUUGGGUAAUUCCUUUUAGAAUUGC